UCCAUGGCCCUACUGCACAUGCAUGCUUUCAUUAUCUCCUCAUCAUAAUUAUAUUAACUUUCAUAACCAAAUACAUAUUGCAUGGGAUCAAGGCAUGAUUUAAAAAAAAAAAAUUUUAAAAAAAAAAAAAAGAGGAAAAGGGGGGAAACCGGAUUUUGCCUCCCACACUCCAAAAAAAAGAGCUUUUUUUGCACAAAGGGUAUUUGGUUCCCCCCAUUUUCCCACUAACUUUCCCUAUAAAUAGAUGCACCAUUUCCCUUCAUUUUUCAUGCUUUCUAGCCCCCAAAAUUGAUGAAAAAAUAUCAUUCAACCUCUCUUCUCCAAACCUAAAUCAAAACCCAAAAAAACUUUUCCCUCCCAAAAGUCACCACUACCAACUUUUUUCCAUUUCACAUUUUUUUCCUCAAAGUUUCUCACUCUCUAACACUCAUAACCCAACCCUUUUACUAAGCUUUCACCACAAAUAUUUUCAUCCCAAACCCCUUACUUCACAUUCAAGUUCAACACCAUUUCUACCUAGNNNNNNNNNUGAUUAAAAAAAAAAAAAAAAAAAAAAAAAGAAGAGGAAAAGGGGGGAAACCGGAUUUUGCCUCCCACACUCCAAAAAAAGAGAGCCUUUUUUGCACAAAGGAUAUUUGGUUCCCCCCAUUUUCCCACUAACUUUCCCUAUAAAUAGAUGCACCAUUCCCCUUCAUUUUUCAUGCUUUCUAGCCCCCAAAAUUGAUGAAAAAAUAUCACUCAACCCCUCUUCUCCAAACCUAAAUCAAAAUCCAAAAAAAGUUUUCCCUCCCAAAAGUCACCACUACCAACUUUUUUCCAUUUCACAUUUUUUUCCUCAAAGUUUCUCAAUCUCUAACACUCAUAACCCAACCCUUUUACUAAGCUUUCACCACAAAUAUUUUCAUCCCAAACCCCUUACUUCACAUUCAAGCUCAACACCAUUUCUACCUAGCUUUUU
rnacentral:lncRNA from 1 species